GCUUACGGCCAUACCACCUGAACACGCCCGAUCUCGUCCGAUCUCGGAAGCUAAGCAGGGUCGGGCCUGGUUAGUACUUGGAUGGGAGACCGCCUGGGAAUACCAGGUGCUGUAAGCU
ensembl:rRNA 5S_rRNA 5S ribosomal RNA